rnacentral:ncRNA from 2 species
AGGUAUGGGUUAAAGAUAGCUCAUGUAAAAUAACGUGAAUUGCUGGGAAACCCUUAGAACCUUAAUAACUACAACGUAAUCGGUAACGGUAAGCGUGAUAGUUCAAAAAUAUUAAGGAUUGGGUAAUCAGCAGCGAAGCCUCUAUGGUAACAGUAGAGGAACGUUCAACGACUAAGUGCUUGUAAUUACAAGACAGUGCGUUAGAGAAUAACCAACACGAAAUACAUCGGAAGAUAUAGUCUAGUCUCAUGUGAAAGCAUGAG